rnacentral:piRNA from 1 species
UUCAAGCCAAACUCAUUAGGCUAACUGAGA